CGGUUGGACAAGUAAAGUGGCGAACGGGUGAGUAACACGUGGAUAAUCUGCCCUUAAAUCUGGGAUAAUCCCCCGAAAGGAGGUCUAAUACCGGAUGAUACCCUUUAAUGGCAUCGUUUUAGGGUCAAAGGCGGGGUAACCUGCCGUUUAAGGAUGAGUCCGCGUCCCAUUAGCUUGUUGGUGAGGUAACGGCCCACCAAGGCUGCGAUGGGUAGCCGGCCUGAGAGGGCGAUCGGCCACACUGGGACUGAGAUACGGCCCAG
rnacentral:rRNA from 1 species